GCCAGCCGCAUUGCCAGGAGGCAACAGUCUGAAUCGUUUUGCAAGCACAACUCAAGACUUGCAGAAAAACUGUCCAGGCUGAGGACCUAAGAGUGGCACGCUGGGCCAAAUACCCGUCUCCCCGAGGAGCUUGUCUUCAGAAGCGGUGCUGAUGGACCUGAGGAAGUACCUUGGGACAGCUGGAAGAACGACAAAUGUGGAGUCUGAGGACGUGAGGUAGAAUCUGGGUUCAACUGUCAGCUCCCUCUCUAAGUGAUCCAAGCCAGGCAUCCAUCUCCUGGGUUACCACAUGACUACCUCGUCUGGAAGCCUACCCAACCGGCAGGAUGCUAACUUAUUUCCAUACAUUUUAAGAGAGUCCAUGAUCAAAUGUCACAAAUAUAUUAAAAUGAACAAUAUACCUCACCAAUAGUUUCCCCAGUUCCACUCUCCAGAGAGCCAAUUUUGUACCUGCGUCACAUAGCACAUCCUCAUAGAUUCCACCUCCUCAUGCUGUCGUAAU